UACGUAGGGGGCAAGCGUUGUCCGGAUUUAUUGGGCGUAAAGAGCGUGUAGGCGGCCAGGUAGGUCUGCUGUGAAAACUCGAGGCUUAACCUCGAGCUGUCGGCGGAAACCAUCUGGCUAGAGUCCGGAAGAGGAGAGUGGAAUUCCCGGUGUAGCGGUGAAAUGCGUAGAGAUCGGGAAGAACAUCGGUGGCGAAAGCGCUCUACUGGACCGCAACUGACACUCAGGGACGAAAGCUAGGGGGGCGAAUGGG
rnacentral:rRNA from 1 species